ACUCCUACGGGAGGCAGCAGUAGGGAAUUUUCGGCAAUGGGCGAAAGCCUGACCGAGCAAUGCCGCGUGAAUGAAGAAAUUCUUCGGAAUGUAAAAUUCUGUGGUGAGGGAAGAAAGGUAUUAGAAGGAAAUGGCUAAUAUUUGACGGUACCUUACUAGAAAGCCCCGGCUAACUAUGUGCCAGCAGCCGCGGUAAUACAUAGGGGGCAAGCGUUAUCCGGAAUUAUUGGGCGUAAAGCGUGCGUAGGCGGCCACUUAAGUCUGUCGUGAAAGCCCACAGCUUAACUGUGGAGGGUCGAUGGAAACUGAGAGGCUUGAAUCUAGGAGAGGUAAGUGGAAUUCCAUGUGUAGCGGUAAAAUGCUUAGAUAUAUGGAGGAACACCAGUGGCGAAGGCGGCUUACUGGUCUAGAAUUGACGCUGAUGCACGAAAGCGUGGGUAGCAAACAGGAUUAGAUACCCUGGUAGUCCACGCCGUAAACGAUGAGCACUAAGUGUCGGACGUAAGUUCGGUGCUGAAGUUAACGCAUUAAGUGCUCCGCCUGGGGAGUACGGUCGCAAGACUGAAACUCAAAGGAAUUGACGGGGACUCGCACAAGCGGUGGAGCAUGUGGUUUAAUUCGACGCAACGCGAAAAACCUUACCAGGCCUUGACAUACCGAUGACGUCUUUAGAGAUAGAGAGUUACCUUCGGGUACAUCGGAUACAGGUGGUGCAUGGUUGUCGUCAGCUCGUGUCGUGAGAUGUUGGGUUAAGUCCCGCAACGAGCGCAACCCUUAUCAUUAGUUGCUAACAGUCAGAUGAGCACUCUAAUGAGACUGCCAGCGAAAAGUUGGAGGAAGGUGGGGAUGACGUCAAAUCAUCAUGCCCCUUAUGGCCUGGGCUACACACGUGCUACAAUGGCUGGUACAAAGAGGAGCAAAGCUGUGAAGUGGAGCAAAUCUCAAAAAGCCAGUCUCAGUUCGGAUUGUAGUCUGCAACUCGACUACAUGAAGUUGGAAUCGCUAGUAAUCGUAAAUCAGCAUGUUACGGUGAAUACGUUCUCGAGUCUUGUACACACCGCCCGUCACACCAUGAGAGUUUGUAAUACCCGAAGCCGGUGGCUUAACCGCAAGGAGAGAGCCGUCUAAGGUAGGACAGAUGAUUGGGGUGAAGUCGUAACAAGGUAUCCCUACGAGAACGUGGGGAUG
rnacentral:rRNA from 1 species